rnacentral:lncRNA from 1 species
UAUAUAUAUAUAUAUAUAUAGGCAAAUGCUCAAAUACAAACUCCUUAGUGUACAAACGUACAAACAAUCACUAAAUGACUUGAAAAUAAUCACUAAAUGAUUGAACAGAAUCACUAAAUCUACCAAGGGGGUCUGAUGGAGAGAUAAGGGGAGGGGAGCACUUAUGGGGUGGCAUAGCCGAGUGGUGGUGCAGCGCGGCCGGCGGUAGCCGCGACGCCGGUGCGAGGGCAGUGCUAGAAACACGAUUGAGGGAGAGAGACACGAUUGAGGGAGAUGAGAAAAGAAGUGGUGAAUGUGUGUGUUUGUGUGUGUAUAGCACUAAUCGGUGAGCGAACAACCACAGAGAGAGAG